CCUACGGGAGGCAGCAGUAGGGAAUCUUCCACAAUGGGCGAAAGCCUGAUGGAGCAACGCCGCGUGGGUGAAGAAGGUCUUCGGAUCGUAAAACCCUGUUGUUAGAGAAGAAAGUGCGUGAUAGUACCUGUUCACGUUUCGACGGUAUCUACCCAGAAAGCAACGGCUAACUACGUGCCAGCAGCCGCGGUAAUACGUAGGUGGCAAGCGUUAUCCGGAUUUAUUGGGCGUAAAGGGAACGCAGGCGGUCUUUUAAGUCUGAUGUGAAAGCCUUGGGCUUAACCGGAGUAGUGCAUUGGAAACUGGGAGACUGGAGUGCAGAAGAGGAGAGUGGAACUCCAUGUGUAGCGGUGAAAUGCGUAGAUAUAUGGAAGAACACCAGUGGCGAAAGCGGCUCUCUGGUCUGUAACUGACGCUGAGGUUCGAAAGCGUGGGUAGCAAACAGGAUUAGAUACCCGAGUAGUC
rnacentral:rRNA from 1 species